UUUAGUGUUAUAGAUAUACACCCCUUUGGAUCCACACCUGUACAUACACUUUUACAUGACCACACACAUAUCUAUUGGUCAGUUUUUGAAAUGCUUAGUUUUCAUUGGUUAGUGUUUUGGUCUUUGUGGGGUAGUGAGUUUUAUUCAGUUUAGACUCUAGAAUUCUGAUUUUGAAUGGAGAAGACCUAGAUUGUUUUGCUGUUGGAAUAUUUAUUUCCUAAGACCUUGAGACCUAAGACAAUUCCUGAAAUGUAUCUCCAUAUAUAACGAGUAUGUAAACUUGCAUUGGAGAAAGUUCAGUUCCAUAAAUUGGACUUCCAAUAUUUCCAUCCAUUGUUUCCAUUAAAUCCAUUAUAAAUUCCAUAUCAUCGAUUGUCAACUUAGAGAUGUCAUAAUUAAAAGUGUAAACUACAACAAUAUUGUGUUUUCCAUCAUAC